AGGGAAGAUUGCUUUACAAUGGUGUGUUGAUUUCUGCCAUACAGCAAUGCAAAUCAGCCAUACUUAUACAUAUAUCAACCUCCCUCUUGAGCCUCCUGCCCCUCCCCACCCCACCGAGUGGAUCUUUUUAAAGUAAGUCUCAAUUAUAUGCUAUCUAUAGGAGCUACACUUGAAACAGUUUCUUUGUAAAUAGUUGAAAUGAAAAGAAAAGGACGAACUACGCAAGCAUAUAUUAUGAGGACCUCUGAAAGAGUCACAUAUCCAAAAUCACAGGGCUAAAACACGGGAGACACGUGUGGUACUUGCUGCCGCCGUGGGUGAACUAGGUGAAGGGCCCAGUCUCUCACCACACUCGCCUCCCGCAGCACUUCAUCCUCUAGAGGUACACCAAAGUCAGGCGUUGCCAGCAUUCCCGCUCUCCCUGCCACUAACUGGUUCUUCUCCUGGACCACAGCAUCCCAGGAUAUCUUGGGAAGCCAAUGGAGGGCCCCACAUUGGUGUGAGAUCCACCUAGAAGAAUAGGUACAUAACUGAGAUGGUUUGGUUUGGUUUGAUUUUUUUACUCAAGAAAUACAUCAGGAGUAUCUGUUUUUCCAACUGAAGAUACUUUCUUAUUUUGUAAAUGACUGCAUCCUUUGUAGUAUGAGUAUGAGCCAUACUUCAAUUAAUUGGCCCCUUGAUAGUGGACAUUAAGAGGUUUUUCCAGUUCUCCAUUAAUCAUCAAUUAAUGAAUAUUCCAGUGCAGUCUAAUACAACUUUCUGCACUGGAACAGUCUCCUUCUUAAAAGCAGAUUGGAUGGAUCAAAGGAUAUGGGCAUUUUAGGUUCUGAUACUUGUCAAACUGCCUUACAGACAGGUUGUACUAAUUUGUACUCUUCUGAACUAAAUAUUUCCCAAAGCCUUGACUAACACUGUUACAUUUUUUCAAGCAAUCUGUUUACCUUCAUACUAAACAAAACAUGCUAUCUCAAUAAUUAAUUCAUUAGGAGUGUUGAACAGCUUUUUAUAUAUUCUGGCCUCUUCAUUUCUUCUUUUUGUAAAUUGCCUAUUCAAUCUAUCUGUCCAUUUGUUUAGGUUGGUUGUUUUCCUUUCUUUCUUUUCUUUUUUUGCUUUUUAAGAGUCUUAUAUAUACUGAGCUUAUUAACCCUACUGGAAAUGUUGCAAAUAUCUUUCUCAG
rnacentral:lncRNA from 1 species